rnacentral:ncRNA from 2 species
AAAUUAUAAUAAAGAAAAGCUUAUUUAUCUUGCUAAUGAUUGGGGCAAGGUCUCUACAAGAUGCCAAACAUCUAACAAUAAGUGAGUCUUACAAGUUU